rnacentral:misc_RNA from 1 species
GAUGAAGAACGUAGCGAAAUGCGAUAAGUAAUGUGAAUUGCAGAAUUCAGUGAAUCAUCGAAUCUUUGAACGCACAUUGCGCCCGCCAGUAUUCUGGCGGGCAUGCCUGUUCGAGCGUCAUUUCAACCAUCAAGCCCCCGGCUUGUGUUGGGGACCUGCGGCUGCCGCAGGCCCUGAAAACCAGUGGCGGGCUCGCUAGUCACUCCGAGCGUAGUAAUACAUCUCGCUCAGGGCGUGCUGCGGGUUCCGGCCGUUAAAAAGCCUUAUUUACCCAAGGUUGACCUCGGAUCAGGUAGGAAGACCCGCUGAACUUAAGCAUACAUAAGCGGAGGA